rnacentral:rRNA from 1 species
AAUCGGAAUUACUGGGCGUAAAGCGCACGCAGGCGGUCUGUCAAGUCGGAUGUGAAAUCCCCGGGCUCAACCUGGGAACUGCAUUCGAAACUGGCAGGCUUGAGUCUUGUAGAGGGGGGUAGAAUUCCAGGUGUAGCGGUGAAAUGCGUAGAGAUCUGGAGGAAUACCGGUGGCGAAGGCGGCCCCCUGGACAAAGACUGACGCUCAGGUGCGAAAGCGUGGGGAGCAAACAGGAUUAGAUACCCUGGUAGUCCACGCCGUAAACGAUGUCUACUUGGAGGUUGUGCCCUUGAGGCGUGGCUUCCGGAGCUAACGCGUUAAGUAGACCGCCUGGGGAGUACGGCCGCAAGGUUAAAACUCAAAUGAAUUGACGGGGGCCCGCACAAGCGGUGGAGCAUGUGGUUUAAUUCGAUGCAACGCGAAGAACCUUACCUGGUCUUGACAUCCACAGAACUUUCCAGAGAUGGAUU